GGGGAAAUGAAUGGAUGUGGCAGCAAUCAAAGCGCUUUGAUGACUGUCCAAACCACUGACCAAAAUGUGCUGGCUUGCUGCGGUGACGAGGCCUACAAUCCAGUCAAUGAAAUAUGCUGUGACUCAGCCAUCAGGGUGAAACCUGCUGUUAAGAGCAAGUGUUGUGGUAAAGAGGCCAUCAAUGAGGAUAAGCAGUUGUGCUGUCAAAUCAACAAGACGAUAACAAGGACUUCAAGUCUAUACCAGUGCUGUGGAAGUGAAGAGUAUAACACUGAGACUCACUGUUGUGAUAG